rnacentral:rRNA from 1 species
UACGUAGGGUGCGAGCGUUAAUCGGAAUUACUGGGCGUAAAGCGUGCGCAGGCGGUUGCUGAAGUCCGUUGUGAAAGCCCCGGGCUUAACCUGGGAAUGGCAGUGGAAACUAGGCGACUUGAAUCUGGCAGAGGGGGGUGGAAUGCCACGGUGUAGCAGUGAAAUGCGUAGAGAUGUGGCGGAACACCGAUGGCGAAGGCAGCCCCUGGGUCGAGAUUGACGCUCAGGCACGAAAGCGUGGGGAGCAAACAGG